rnacentral:rRNA from 1 species
AUUGAACGCUGGCGGCAGGCUUAACACAUGCAAGUCGAGCGGAGCGAGGGUGCUUGCACCUUAGCUUAGCGGCGGACGGGUGAGUAAUGCUUAGGAAUCUGCCUAUUAGUGGGGGACAACAUUCCGAAAGGAAUGCUAAUACCGCAUACGCCCUACGGGGGAAAGCAGGGGAUCUUCGGACCUUGCGCUAAUAGAUGAGCCUAAGUCGGAUUAGCUAGUUGGUGGGGUAAAGGCCUACCAAGGCGACGAUCUGUAGCGGGUCUGAGAGGAUGAUCCGCCACACUGGGACUGAGACACGGCCCAGACUCCUACGGGAGGCAGCAGUGGGGAAUAUUGGACAAUGGGCGGAAGCCUGAUCCAGCCAUGCCGCGUGUGUGAAGAAGGCCUUUUGGUUGUAAAGCACUUUAAGCGAGGAGGAGGCUCUUAAGGUUAAUACCCUUGAUGAGUGGACGUUACUCGCAGAAUAAGCACCGGCUAACUCUGUGCCAGCAGCCGCCCGUAACAC